rnacentral:rRNA from 1 species
GACGAACGCUGGCGGCGUGCUUAACACAUGCAAGUCGAACGGAAAGGCCCUGCUUGCAGGGUACUCGAGUGGCGAACGGGUGAGUAACACGUGGGUGAUCUGCCCUGCACUUCGGGAUAAGCCUGGGAAACUGGGUCUAAUACCGGAUAGGAGCCAUUUUUAGUGUGAUGGUUGGAAAGUUUUUUCGGUGUAGGAUGAGCUCGCGGCCUAUCAGCUUGUUGGUGGGGUAAUGGCCUACCAAGGCGGCGACGGGUAGCCGGCCUGAGAGGGUGGACGGCCACAUUGGGACUGAGAUACGGCCCAGACUCCUACGGGAGGCAGCAGUGUGGAAUAUUGCACAAUGGGCGCAAGCCUGAUGCAGCGACGCCGCGUGGGGGAUGACGGCCUUCGGGUUGUAAACUCCUUUCGCUAGGGACGAAGCUUUUUGUGACGGUACCUAGAUAAGAAGCACCGGCUAACUACGUG